rnacentral:rRNA from 1 species
AUGAUAUGUCGAUUUUGGUGGGCAAAAUAAGACAAGAAUAACACAAUGCACAGGCUAAGCUGGGAGUUGUUGACUAGACCAAAUAAAGAUGGGGGGAUGGGAUUUAGAGAUAUAUAUGGCUUCAAUAUCGCUAUGUUGUCACGGUAGGCAUGGCGGCUGUUAACUGCACCUGACUCCCUGUGCGCUAGGGUCUUGAAGGCCAGAUACUUUCCGCGCACAUCGAUUCUUGAGGAAGAGGCUCAUCUGGGUAUAUCAUAUACAUGGAGAAGUAUUCUGAAGGAGGUGUCACUUUUGUAGGAGGGUCUGAUACAUAGAGUUGGAGACGGAAGCUCGGUUAAAAUCUGGACGGAUCCAUGGCUGAACAGAGACGGACCAAGAACUCCAUCCACCCCCAGGGGAGGCUCCUCCUUACUAGAGUUUGUGAACUAG